rnacentral:misc_RNA from 1 species
GGCAUAACUGUUUGAAGAACCCUUUGCUGCAUUAAUAAGUUCAUCAGCCAAGCAUUCUGCAAUUGUCUUGAUAUUUCUGAAGGCAGCCUCACGAGCACCUGUCGUAAGAAGAUAGAUUGCUUGGUUAACACGGCGCAGAGGGGAUAUAUCCACCGCCUGACGCCUAACAACACCAGCUGAACCGAUUCGAGUGGCAUCUUCACGUGGCCCACUGUUAACAACAGCAUCAACAAUGACUUGAACUGGGUUGAGAUCAGUUAGAAGAUGAAUAAUCUCCAUUGCGUGCUUAAUAAUCCUGACAGCCAUAAGUUUCUUCCCAUUGUUCCUACCGUGCAUCAUAAGUGAAUUUGUGAGCCUCUCCACAAUUGGGCACUGAGCCUUUCGGAAGCGCUUGACGGAGUACCUCCCAGCAGUGUGGGGGACAUAGGUGGCAUGCUUGGCAGGUGCAACACCAAUGUAAUCAACGAGAGAGAUGUCAUUGACCUGGACAUCAUCAAAGGUCCACCGGUUGAACAGCUUCACAUCAUGAUGAGGCUGGGUCAGUUCCUGGUUUACCACAUCAACUUCAACAGCCAUUAUUCUAAUUAAGCUGCUGCAAUGGCCGAAUAGUUUCCGUUAGAGAAGAUGAAGAAUGCGGCUGAAAUAUUAAGAGAGAGAAGAACGAAGACGGAG